CCAACCUUCCCAUAACUCAGGGAUAGCCUUUCGAAAGAAAGAUUAAUACCUGAUAGUACUUUUUCAAGGCAUCUGAAAAAGUAAAGAUUUAUGGUUAUGGAUGGGGAUGCGUUCCAUUAGAUAGUUGGUGAGGUAACGGCUCACCAAGUCUUCGAUGGAUAGGGGUUCUGAGAGGAAGGUCCCCCACAUUGGUACUGAGACACGGACCAAACUCCUACGGGAGGCAGCAGUGAGGAAUAUUGGUCAAUGGGCGAGAGCCUGAACCAGCCAAGUAGCGUGAAGGAAUGAAGGUCCUAUGGAUUGUAAACUUCUUUUAUAGUAGAAUAAAGUGAGCCACGUGUGGUUUUUUGUAUGUAUACUAUGAAUAAGGAUCGGCUAACUCCGUGCCAGCCGCUGC
rnacentral:rRNA from 1 species